rnacentral:piRNA from 2 species
AUUGCAGUACCUCCAGGAACGGU